rnacentral:tRNA from 1 species
CUGUGUGUGGAGCAGCCAGUGCACCGCGCUCCGGUCGCGGUCCGGUCGCGGUCGAGUCACGGCGGGCAGU